rnacentral:sRNA from 1 species
AAACACAGUCCACUGCGGUCAACCGCAC